GACGAACGCUGGCGGCGUGCCUAAUACAUGCAAGUAGAACGCUGAAGCUUGGUGCUUGCACCGAGCGGAAGAGUUGCGAACGGGUGAGUAACGCGUAGGUAACCUGCCUGGUAGCGGGGGAUAACUAUUGGAAACGAUAGCUAAUACCGCAUAAAAUGGAUUAUCGCAUGAUAAUCCAUUGAAAGGUGCAAAUGCAUCACUACCAGAUGGACCUGCGUUGUAUUAGCUAGUUGGUGGGGUAACGGCUCACCAAGGCAACGAUACAUAGCCGACCUGAGAGGGUGAUCGGCCACACUGGGACUGAGACACGGCCCAGACUCCUACGGGAGGCAGCAGUAGGGAAUCUUCGGCAAUGGACGGAAGUCUGACCGAGCAACGCCGCGUGAGUGAAGAAGGUUUUCGGAUCGUAAAGCUCUGUUGUAAGAGAAGAACGAGUGUGAGAGUGGAAAGCUCACACUGUGACGUAUCUACCAGAAAGGC
rnacentral:rRNA from 1 species